UACGUAGGGUGCGAGCGUUGUCCGGAGUUACUGGGCGUAAAGCGCACGCAGGCGGUCUGCUAAGUUUGGAGUGACAGUUGGUGGCUCAACCACCAAAGUGCUUUGAAAACUGACAGACUUGAGGGCUUCAGAGGGACACGGAAUUCCGGGUGGAGUGGUGAAAUGCGUAGAGAUCCGGAGGAACACCAAAGGCGAAGGCAGUGUCCUGGGGAGUACCUGACGCUCAGGUGCGAAAGCCAGGGGAGCGAACGGG
rnacentral:rRNA from 1 species